AGAGUUUGAUCCUGGCUCAGGAUGAACGCUGGCGGCGUGCCUAACACAUGCAAGUUGAGCGAUUUACUUCGGUAAAGAGCGGCGGACGGGUGAGUAACGCGUGGGUAACCUACCCUGUACACACGGAUAACAUACCGAAAGGUAUGCUAAUACGGGAUAAUAUAUUUGAGAGGCAUCUCUUGAAUAUCAAAGGUGAGCCAGUACAGGAUGGACCCGCGUCUGAUUAGCUAGUUGGUAAGGUAACGGCUUACCAAGGCGACGAUCAGUAGCCGACCUGAGAGGGUGAUCGGCCACAUUGGAACUGAGACACGGUCCAAACUCCUACGGGAGGCAGCAGUGGGGAAUAUUGCACAAUGGGCGAAAGCCUGAUGCAGCAACGCCGCGUGAGUGAUGAAGGCCUUCGGGUCGUAAAACUCUGUCCUCAAGGAAGAUAAUGACGGUACUUGAGGAGGAAGCCCCGGCUAACUACGUGCCAGCAGCCGCGGUAAUACGUAGGGGGCUAGCGUUAUCCGGAUUUACUGGGCGUAAAGGGUGCGUAGGCGGUCUUUCAAGUCAGGAGUGAAAGGCUACGGCUCAACCGUAGUAAGCUCUUGAAACUGGGAGACUUGAGUGCAGGAGAGGAGAGUGGAAUUCCUAGUGUAGCGGUGAAAUGCGUAGAUAUUAGGAGGAACACCAGUUGCGAAGGCGGCUCUCUGGACUGUAACUGACGCUGAGGCACGAAAGCGUGGGGAGCAAACAGGAUUAGAUACCCUGGUAGUCCACGCUGUAAACGAUGAGUACUAGGUGUCGGGGGUUACCCCCUUCGGUGCCGCAGCUAACGCAUUAAGUACUCCGCCUGGGAAGUACGCUCGCAAGAGUGAAACUCAAAGGAAUUGACGGGGACCCGCACAAGUAGCGGAGCAUGUGGUUUAAUUCGAAGCAACGCGAAGAANCAUAGCUCAGCUGGGAGAGCACCUGCCUUACAAGCAGGGGGUCACAGGUUCGAGCCCUGUUGGUCCCACCAUUCGCGGCCUGGUAGUUCAGUUGGUUAGAAUGCCAGCCUGUCACGCUGGAGGUCGAGGGUUCGAGCCCCUUCCAGGUCGCCAAAUUAAAUAAGCGGGAAUAGUUCAGUGGUAGAGCGCAACCUUGCCAAGGUUGAAGUCGCGAGUUCGAAUCUCGUUUCCCGCUCCAUAAUAACUUGGGUGCAUAGCUCAGCUGGAUAGAGCAACGCCCUUCUAAGGCGUGUGUCCGGGGUUCGAAUCCCUGUGCGCUCAUUAAGAAAAGUUUACUAUAAAUUAUAGUAAACUUUUAUAUUGUUUAAAAAGACACAGGAAACAUGUAUAUUACCUGUGUCUUUUUAUUUAUAAACUUUAAACUAUGUAAAAAUUACAGUAUAUUCUAAUAGAGUUACAGUAUAUUCAUUAAUAUUGUAAACAUACGGAGGGUAAUGUAUAAUAGUCUACAAGAUGUUUAUGAAGGCAUCAGUUAAAUAUAACUAAUUAGAUAAGAGUUAUAUACAUUAUAUUGUAUACUUUAUGGUAUUUAUAUAUUGAAAUAACUUAUGAAAUUAUUUAUAAAGAGAUUUAUGAGCAUAUUUUUGUCUAAACAAUAAGUAUAAGAAAUUAUAAAAAAUUAGAGACUAUAGUGAAUUGACAAUUUAAUGUAAUAUUUAUAAGUUAUACUAAGUAAAUUAUUAUACUGUGAAAUGGAUAUAUAACUUUAGGUAUUGUGUAUUAUUUUCACUGUAGGAGAUUAUAUCUAGUUAUACAUAAUAAGUUUUAAUGAUAGUUUAUAGUAAGAUAUUAAAAUAAAUUUAUCUAAUCUAGAUAUGAAAUAAGUUAUUACUUUAAUAUAAAAAUGAAUCUAAUGGAAUAAUAUUGAUGAUAAGUAAUAUUUAGAUUUUGUAUUUGUUUAUAGUUAAUAAGUGGAUUAUAGAAUUUAUAAUAAUUAAUAUAUAUUAAACAAAGAUAUAUUAAGAUAUUUUAGAACAUAAAACUGCAUUAAGGCGCGAGUACUAUUUUGUAUUCGCGCCUUGAUGGUUUGAGUUAUUUGAGUAAAAACUAACUUUAAUAAGAAAUAUGUAUUUAUUAAGUUGAUAUUUUUAAUGUGUUUAGAGAUUAUUUAACAAUCUCCAAAUAUAAAACUAGAAUUAUUUACAUAAAAGUUAAAUAGUUUGUAUAGAGUUAGAUUUAUAUAGUAUAAUACUUAGUGUAAAUAAUUAAGAAGUUAUCAAACAGGAGGAUAAAACUGUGUUAGAUAUAAAUUCUUUUUUAAAUGGAUUUUUUAAUAUAAUAUUAAGAAUGAGUAUAUAUGAUUUAAUUGACAUAUCUAUAGUAGCGUAUAUUUUUUACAAAAUAUUUAUGUUUAUAAAAGAUACAAGAGCAGAACAAGUGUUUAAAGGUAUAAUAUUUCUUUUAUUAGCAACUCAACUUAGUAACACCUUUAAAUUGCAUACCGUUUAUUGGAUAUCUCUUAAAGCUUUAGAUUAUGGAGUUAUAGCUGCUCUUAUAAUUUUUCAACCAGAAUUUAGAGCAGGACUUGAACAUAUAGGAAGAGCAAAGUUUAAUUUAUUUGGAAAGAAUGUAAAUACUUCUGAAGAAACUCUCAAUAGAAAUAUAGAAGAAAUUGUAGAAGCUUUAUAUUCACUUUCUAGACAAAAAAUAGGAGCUCUUAUCAUAAUGGAGAGAGAAACUAGAAUAAGUGAUAUAAUAAAUACAGGAACUAUUAUUGAUGCUGAAAUUUCUAGGCAACUAUUAAUAAAUAUAUUUAUACCAAAUACACCAUUACACGAUGGAGCUGUUGUAAUUAGAGAUUCUAAGGUAAAAGCAGCUGCAUGUUUUUUGCCAUUGACGGAAAGUAAGGAUUUAAGUAAAGAUUUGGGUACUA
rnacentral:rRNA from 1 species